rnacentral:rRNA from 1 species
CCUGAGGCACGAAAGUCUGACGGAGCACGCCGCGUGAGUGAUGAAGGCUUUCGGGUCGUAAAACUCUGUUGUUAGGGAAGAACAAGUGCUAGUUGAAUAAGCUGGCACCUUGACGGUACCUAACCAGAAAGCCACGGCUAACUACGUGCCAGCAGCCGCGGUAAUACGUAGGUGGCAAGCGUUAUCCGGAAUUAUUGGGCGUAAAGCGCGCGCAGGUGGUUUCUUAAGUCUGAUGUGAAAGCCCACGGCUCAACCGUGGAGGGUCAUUGGAAACUGGGAGACUUGAGUGCAGAAGAGGAAAGUGGAAUUCCAUGUGUAGCGGUGAAAUGCGUAGAGAUAUGGAGGAACACCAGUGGCGAAGGCGACUUUCUGGUCUGUAACUGACACUGAGGCGCGAAAGCGUGGGGAGCAAACAGGAUUAGAUACCCUGGUAGUCCACGCCGUAAACGAUGAGUGCUAAGUGUUAGAGGGUUUCCGCCCUUUAGUGCUGAAGUUAACGCAUUAAGCACUCC